rnacentral:snRNA from 1 species
AGCUUUGUACUGUGGUAGGAUUGGAGUCAAUGAGGUUGAUCUGAGGCAUGAUAAUUGCUGAUGGGCACGGACCCCAGGCAGCUCUGAAUUAGCUCUCUCUCCAAGCACUAUGCACUUCUGGAGAUCUGAACUGUGUCUCCAAGGGUUUAAUUUUGGCCUCUGUUUUCUCAG